rnacentral:tRNA from 1 species
GACUUAAAAUCCGUCGACUUAAAAAAUCGUGAGGGUUCAAGUCCCUCUAUCCCCA